rnacentral:rRNA from 1 species
GUGGGGAAUAUUCCGCAAUGGACGAAAGUCUGACGGAGCAACGCCGCGUGAGUGAUGAAGGUUUUCGGACUGUAAAGCUCUGUUGUUUAGGACGAAAGUGCCUGUUGCAAAUAGUUACAGGUAUUGACGGUACUGAACGAGGAAGCCACGGCUAACUACGUGCCAGCAGCCGCGGUAAUACGUAGGUGGCAAGCGUUGUCCGGAAUUAUUGGGCGUAAAGAGCAUGUAGGCGGGAAUCUAAGUCUGUUGUGAAAAUGCGGGGCUCAACCCCGUAUUGCGAUGGAAACUGGGUUUCUUGAGUGCAGGAGAGGAAAGGGGAAUUCCCAGUGUAGCGGUGAAAUGCGUAGAUAUUGGGAGGAACACCAGUGGCGAAGGCGGCUUCCUGGCACAAUACUGACGCUCAUGUGCGAAAGCUAGGGCAGCGAACGGGAUUAGAUACCCUUGUAGUCC